rnacentral:rRNA from 1 species
CCUACGGGAGGCAGCAGUGAGGAAUAUUGGUCAAUGGGCGGAAGCCUGAACCAGCCAAGUCGCGUGCAGGAUGACGGCCCUGCGGGUUGUAAACUGCUUUUGUCCGGGAAUAACGCGCCUUACGUGUAGCCCUUUGCAUGUACCUUAUGAAUAAGGACCGGCUAAUUCCGUGCCAGCAGCCGCGGUAAUACGGAAGGUCCGGGCGUUAUCCGGAUUUAUUGGGUUUAAAGGGAGCGUAGGCCGCAUGUCAAGCGCGCGGUGAAAUGCCCGGGCUCAACCCGGGCCGUGCAGCGCGACCUGGCGGGCUUGAGUCCGCGGAAAGCAGGCGGAAUUCGUCGUGUAGCGGUGAAAUGCUUAGAUAUGACGAAGAACCCCGAUUGCGAAGGCAGCUUGCUGCAGCGGAACUGACGCUGAUGCUCGAAAGCGUGGGUAUCGAACAGGAUUAGAUACCCUGGUAGUC